UCUCCAGGCCGGUCCUCAGCGCCUAUGUCUGCCUGUCCCGCCGGGCACCACGCAAAAUACUCUACUGGAAACUGAACCGAGAUAGGGACAAGCAGCAGAAACCAUUAAAGCGCCGCAGGGACAGGCCUGGCCCCGGAAACGCCUUUAGCUCUCGGCCGGAGCGGGCGGGAAGGCGGCAGCGACCCCGGCCUCGCCUCGGGGUAGCGCCAUUUUGGGCAGCCGCAGGAGGCAGCGGGUCGCGCCGCACCGGGGGCGAGGGAGGCCGACAGAGGGGAGAGCGUGUCCCGCCGCUCCCUGUUCUCAGAGGGACGGGGCAGCGGCAAGAAAAGCCUGGAGCAGGACACACAGUUCCCCCAUCAGUGCUGUGAAGACGUGAGCAGGGUCCAGCUCAGCCCAGUCCUCGUUUGCUCACUGCAGUUGUUUUCGAUCGCUUGGCUGGAUCCAAUUCCCAGGAUGCCAGGAUGGGCUUUUUUAACACCUGAAGGGGGCUGCCCACUGCCUCGCACCUUGUCUCGACGCUUACAUCUGCGGGGAGUGGGCGGUGCGGGGCUGUGGCUCUCCUCGCCUUGCCUCCUACACCCGCUCUGCGCUGGCUGGGCUCACACGUAACUGUGGAUUAUUCCUUGCAAGUACUGAGGAAGUGGAGAACAAGGGCAAAAAUAGUUGGGAUUUGAUAGCGUGUGCAACAUCUGACAAACUUCAGUCUCCAAAGGAAGCAGCUAUUGAUUUGUAUCUUUAUUUGUCUUUAUGCAAUUUGGGUGUUGUCUUUAUAUAACUUUUCAUGCGCUUUCUCUAGCAAAUGUGGUGAAGAAAGAAAUGCUGGAUUUUGUGCUUACCCACUUCCCUAAUAAACCCUUUGAAAUAUGUUA